rnacentral:snoRNA from 1 species
GAUCAGUGAUGAGAAUUAGCCAAAUCUGAGCGUUGGGGUUGAAACCCUCAACCUGUGAUUACGCAAGAGAAGCUUUUCUGUCUUUGG